ACUAAGAAAGUAAAAAAGGGCGCAUGGCGGAUGCCUUGGCUCUCAGAGGCGAAGAAGGACGUGAUAAGCUGCGAAAAGUCAUGGGUAGGUGCAAAUAACCAUUGAUCCGUGAAUAUCCGAAUGGGGCAACCCACUGUAUUGAAGAUACAGUAUCCAGUAAUGGAGGCGAACCCGGAGAACUGAAACAUCUAAGUACCCGGAGGAAGAGAAAACAAAAGUGAUUCUCCUAGUAGCGGCGAGCGAACAGGGAUUAGCCCAAACCAUUGUUGUUUAGGCAAUGAUGGGGUAAUAGGACUGCGGUGUGAGGAUUAAAGACGAAAUGGAAGCAUCUGGAAAGUUGCAUCAAAGAGGGUGACAAUCCCGUACAUGUAAGUGUUUAAUUUUCUAGCAGUAUCCUGAGUAGGACGGGACACGAGAAAUCCUGUCUGAAUUAGCCGGGACCAUCCGGUAAGGCUAAAUACUCCUGAGAGACCGAUAGUGAACAAGUACCGUGAGGGAAAGGUGAAAAGCACCCCUGGCAGGGGAGUGAAAAAGUACCUGAAACCGUGCGCCUACAAGCAGUCGAAGCCCUUUAGUGGGGUGACGGCGUGCCUUUUGCAUAAUGAGCCUACGAGUUAUUCCUUACCGGCAAGGUUAAGUAUUUCAAGAUACGUAGCCGAAGCGAAAGCGAGUCUGAACAGGGCGAUAGAGUCGGUAGGGAUAGACGCGAAACCAGGUGAUCUACCCAUGGUCAGGUUGAAGUCCCGGUAACACGGGAUGGAGGACCGAACCAGUAAACGUUGAAAAGUUUUUGGAUGAACUGUGGGUAGGGGUGAAAGGCCAAUCAAACCUGGAAAUAGCUCGUACUCCCCGAAAUGCAUUUAGGUGCAGCCUUAUGAAAGUUUAGCACAGGUAGAGCUACUGAUAGGACGCGAGGGUUUCAUCGCCUAUCAACUCCUGACAAACUCCGAAUGGUGCUAAAUGAUUCAUAGGAGUGAGGGCAUGGGUGCUAAGGUCCGUGUCCGAGAGGGAAAGAACCCAGACCACCGUCUAAGGUCCCCAAAUGUAUGCUAAGUUGAAGAAAACGCGGUAUGGUUGCACAGACAGCUAGGAUGUUGGCUUGGAAGCAGCCACUCAUUUAAAGAGUGCGUAACAGCUCACUAGUCGAGCGACCGUGCAUGGAUAAUAAUCGGGCAUUAAGCAUGCUACCGAAGACGUGGAUUUGUGACAUUAGUCACAACUGGUAGGGGAGCAUUCCAACACCGCCGAAGCAGUAUUGUGAGAUAUUGUGGAGGAAUUGGAAAAGCAAAUGUAGGCAUAAGUAACGAUAAUGAAGGUGAGAGACCUUCACGCCGAAAGACUAAGGUUUCCUGAUCAACGCUAAUCGGAUCAGGGUCAGUCGGGACCUAAGGAUAACCCGAAUGGGGAAGCCGAUGGCAAGCAGGUCAACAUUCCUGCACCCGCUAUACAAUAAAAGUGACGGGGUCACCAGGUGUCUGAGCGCUGACGGAAUAGCGCCCUGAGCCUAGGCUACGGCCGAAGCGAAGACAAGUAAUGACUUCCAAGAAAAGCGAGUAUAGCGGCCCGUACCGUAAACGGACACACGUAGUUGGGUUGAGUAUACUAAGGCGCUCGAGUGAUCCGCGGCCAAGGAACUAGGCAAAUUAGUCCUGUAACUUCGGGAGAAAGGACCCCCGGUAUUGAUUUCGGUUAAUAUUGGGGCGCAGAGAAAUGGCCCAGGCGACUGUUUACCAAAAACACAUGGCUUUGCUAAAUCGAAAGAUGAUGUAUAAGGCCUGACACCUGCCCGGUGCCGGAAGGUUAAGAGGAGAUGUUAGUUUCGGCGAAGCAUUGAAUUGAAGCCCCGGUAAACGGCGGCCGUAACUAUAACGGUCCUAAGGUAGCGAAAUUCCUUGUCGGGUAAGUUCCGACCUGCACGAAUGGUGUAACGAUCUGGGCACUGUCUCAGCCGCGAGCUCGGUGAAAUUGUAGUACCGGUGAAGAUGCCGGUUACCCGCAACGGGACGGAAAGACCCCGUGAACCUUUACUGCAACUUAACAUUGAUUUUGGGUAAGUGAUGUGUAGGAUAGGUCGGAGACUAUGAAGCGGUAUCGCCAGGUAUCGUGGAGUCGCCCUUGAAAUACGACCCUUUACUUGCUUGGAGUCUAAUCCCACAGCGUGGGAGACAUUGUUUGGUGGGUAGUUUGACUGGGGUGGUCGCCUCCAAAAGAGUAACGGAGGCUUCCAAAGGUUCCCUCAAGACGAUUGGUAACCGUCUGAAGAGUAUAAUGGUACAAGGGAGCUUGACUGUGAGACCAACAAGUCGAUCAGGUGCGAAAGCAGGGCAUAGUGAUCCGGUGGUUCCGAAUGGAAGGGCCAUCGCUCAAAGGAUAAAAGGUACUCCGGGGAUAACAGGCUGAUCGCCGCCAAGAGCUCAUAUCGACGCGGCGGUUUGGCACCUCGAUGUCGGCUCGUCACAUCCUGGGGCUGGAGAAGGUCCCAAGGGUUGGGCUGUUCGCCCAUUAAAGUGGCACGCGAGCUGGGUUCAGAACGUCGUGAGACAGUUCGGUCCCUAUCUGUUGUGGGCGUAGGAAAUUUGAGAGACCCUGUCAUUAGUACGAGAGGACCGUGAUGGACAGACCACUGGUGCAUCAGUUGUUCCGCCAGGAGCAUCGCUGAGUAGCUAAGUCUGGAAGGGAUAAGUGCUGAAAGCAUCUAAGCACGAAGCCUGUCUCAAGAUAAGAUUUCCAUAUAAGGGGCGUUGCAGACGACGACGUUGAUAGGCUGCAGGUGUAAAUACGGUGACGUAUGUAGCCGAGCAGUACUAAUUACCCAAAACUUUUAAGUUGGGGAGUUCAAUCUCCACACUGAAGCAUUAUUAC
rnacentral:rRNA from 1 species